rnacentral:rRNA from 1 species
AUUGAACGCUGGCGGCAUGCUUUACACAUGCAAGUCGAACGGUAACAGGGUGCUUGCACCGCUGACGAGUGGCGAACGGGUGAGUAAUGCGUCGGAACGUGCCGAGUAGUGGGGGAUAACGCAGCGAAAGUUGUGCUAAUACCGCAUACGUACUGAGGUAGAAAGUGGGGGACCUUCGGGCCUCACGCUAUUCGAGCGGCCGACGUCUGAUUAGCUAGUAGGUGAGGUAAAGGCUCACCUAGGCGACGAUCAGUAGCGGGUCUGUGAGGAUGAGCCGCCACACUGGGACUGAGACACAGCCGAAGCUCCUACGGGAGGCAGAAGUGGGGAAUUUUGGACAAUGGGCGAAAGCCUGAUCCAGCCAUGCCGCGUGUCUGAAGAAGGCCUUCGGGUUGUAAAGGACUUUUGUCGGGGAGGAAAUCCCCAGCGUUAAUACCGCUGGGGGAUGACAGUACCUGAAGAAUAAGCACCGGCUAACUACGUGCCAGCCGCCGCCGUAAAAC